CCGCAUACGCCCUACGGGGGAAAGCGGGGGAUCUUCGGACCUCGCGCUAUGAGAUGAGCCUGCGUUAGAUUAGCUAGUUGGUGGGGUAAAGGCCUACCAAGGCGACGAUCUAUAGCUGGUCUGAGAGGACGAUCAGCCACACUGGGACUGAGACACGGCCCAGACUCCUACGGGAGGCAGCAGUGGGGAAUAUUGGACAAUGGGCGAAAGCCUGAUCCAGCAAUACCGCGUGUGUGAAGAAGGCCUUAGGGUUGUAAAGCACUUUCAAUUGGGAGGAAAACCUACCGGUCAAUACCCGGUAGCUUGACAUUACCUUUAGAA
rnacentral:rRNA from 1 species